GAUGCUCAUCCCUAUGUCUUAUCUGUACUCUCUUCCUAUUACUGUUCUAAGAGUAUUUGCACAUAAGCACUUACUUUUUAAUGUAUAAAACCCAGCUGAUGAAUAAAACGUCAGAGGCUUAUUUUGAAUACCAACAGGUGUCUGGUGUCUAAUUCUCGCUUUUCCAAGUGCACUUGUAACAACAAUUUGGGCUUCCUCUGAAUAUAACAAAAAUCAACAUUUCUGAUCCACAACAAUUUGGUGCC